rnacentral:tRNA from 1 species
GUGGUUGUGGCUCAAUGCUAGAGAGCUUGCCUAGCAUGCAUGAGGCACUAGGUUCGAUCCACAGCACCACA